AAUGAUAAAGUAUAAUACUUCUGAUUUCCAAUCAGAAAUAGAGUUAAUAUAU
rnacentral:tRNA from 1 species